rnacentral:rRNA from 1 species
AUACGGAGGGUGCAAGCGUUAUUGGAAUCACUGGGCGUAAAGGACGCGUAGGCGGGUUGGCAAGUCAGAUGUGAAAUCCUACAGCUUAACUGUAGAACUGCAUUUGAAACUGCUAACCUAGAGUAUGGGAGGGGGAGAUGGAAUUAGUGGUGUAGGGGUAAAAUCCGUAGAUAUCACUAGGAAUACCGAAAGCGAAGGCGAUCUCCUGGAACAUAACUGACGCUAAGGCGUGAAAGCGUGGGGAGCAAACAGGAUUAGAAACCCCAGUAGUCC